rnacentral:rRNA from 1 species
GACGAACGCUGGCGGCGUGCUUAACACAUGCAAGUCGAACGGAAAGGCCUCUUUCGGGGGGUACUCGAGUGGCGAACGGGUGAGUAACACGUGAGUAACCUGCCCUUGACUUUGGGAUAACUUCAGGAAACUGGGGCUAAUACCGGAUAGGAGCUCCUGCUGCAUGGUGGGGGUUGGAAAGUUUCGGCGGUUGGGGAUGGACUCGCGGCUUAUCAGCUUGUUGGUGGGGUAGUGGCUUACCAAGGCUUUGACGGGUAGCCGGCCUGAGAGGGUGACCGGCCACAUUGGGACUGAGAUACGGCCCAGACUCCUACGGGAGGCAGCAGUGGGGAAGAUUGCACAAUGGGUGGAAGCCUGAUGCAGCAGCGCCGUGUGCGGGAUGACGGCCUUCGGGUUGUAAACCGCUUUCGCUCAUGACGAAGCUUUGUGUGACGGUAGUGGGUAAAGAAGCACCGGCUAACUACGUG